UACGUAGGGUGCGAGCGUUACUCGGAAUUACUGGGCGUAAAGCGUGCGCAGGCGGCGCGUUAAGACAGGUGUGAAAGCCCCGGGCUUAACCUGGGAAUGGCAUUGGAAACUGGCUCGCUGGAGUGUGGCAGAGGGGGGUGGAAUUCCGCGUGUAGCAGUGAAAUGCGUAGAGAUGCGGAGGAACACCAGUGGCGAAGGCGGCUCACUGGCUCGGUACUGACGCUGAGGUGCGAAAGCGUGGGGAGCAAACAGG
rnacentral:rRNA from 1 species